CCAUGAACACACCGGCAAAACAGUCAUGAGGUCACAGGCCGUGCAACACUAUCACACCUGCAUUACACAACAGUCCAUGAACACACCGGCAAAACAGUCAUGAGGUCACAGGCCGUGCAACACUAUCACACCUGCAUUACAAAACAGUCCAUGAACACACCAGCAAAACAGUCAUGUGGUCACAGGCCGCGCAACACUAUCACACCUGCAUUACAAAACAGUCCAUGAACACACCGGCAACUUCCACGAGAGACUUUUCAAACAGGCGAACCGACCCGUUCAUACAUGCGGGCGUGAGUACUCUUGUGCGGCGGAACCACACACCGCACGCCUGGGCACGAUGCUCUCUCUGCCGUCUGGAGUUUUCCUGUCACCUUCGCAAAAGGGUUGUAGAAAAAAGGAAAAAAUGCCGUGUGCCAAGACUGUGCCGCUGCUGUAUUUCUCAGUUUCUCUUACUUAUCAUCGCAUUCA